rnacentral:rRNA from 1 species
CAGUAGCCACGGGAAUACGUAGGGUGCAAGCGUUAAUCGGAAUUACUGGGCGUAAAGGGCUCGCAGGCGGUUUCUUAAGCCUGAUGUGAAAGCCCCCGGCUCAACCGGGGAGGGUCAUUGGAAACUGGGAAACUUGAGUGCAGAAGAGGAGAGUGGAAUUCCACGUGUAGCGGUGAAAUGCGUAGAGAUGUGGAGGAACACCGAUGGCGAAGGCAGCCCCCUGGGCCAAUACUGACGCUCAUGCACGAAAGCGUGGGGAGCAAACAGGAUUAGAUACCCCAGUAGUCCCUGUCUCUUAUAC